UGGGGAAUUUUGCACAAUGGGGGAAACCCUGAUGCAGCGACGCCGCGUGAUUCAGAAGGCCUUCGGGUUGUAAAAAUCUUUUUUACGGGAUGAAAAUGACAGUACCGUAAGAAUAAGGUCCGGCUAAAUACGUGCCAGCAGCCGCGGUAAUACGUAUGGACCGAGCGUUGUCCGGAAUCAUUGGGCGUAAAGGGUACGUAGGCGGCCUAGUAAGUUAGAAGUGAAAUAAUAUAGCUCAACUAUAUAAAGCUUUUAAAACUGCUAGGCUUGAGAGAUGGAAGGGAAAGUGGAAUUCCUAGUGUAGCGGUGAAAUGCGCAGAUAUUAGGAAGAAUACCGGUGGCGAAGGCGACUUUCUGGUCAUCAUCUGACGCUGAGGUACGAAAGCGUGGGUAGCAAACAGG
rnacentral:rRNA from 1 species